ensembl:lncRNA
AUGCAGCAUGAGAGUAAAUUGCCUUCUGCUCUCUCCCCAAUCCUUCCCAGGUCAGUUUCCAAUUCCAGUAUCGACAUACCUCCGUCCGGCAUACAGGAGUGCCCAUCGUACAAUUACACUGACCCCGUCAGGCCUGGUUGUGACCUGGAGGCGGACAUUCACCAAACCAUCUACAUCUUUUUUAAUGCAACGCUGAUGAACACCGUGGCCAGGAACACAUUCUCAAGAAAAACUUUUGAUGAUGUGCGACCUCCUUCCAUUAAGUGGAGCGUCAAUAAAACUGGGGAUAAGUUUUCUAUUGCUUGGAUCAAACCUGACAUUCCACUUGGUUGGAAUUUUGUUGUGAUGUACACCGAGUGUAGUGAAACGAAGUACAAAACGUUUGGGGAAGUAAAUUCAGGCGAGCUGGACCUGGUCCCUCACUGUCCCUACUGUCUGGCCAUUAAAGCACACAUCCCGAAUAGAGUGACACCAUGGACCAAGGAGGAGUGUUUCGAUGCAGACACAGAUCCUAAAGCAUGGAAGUGGGCUGCCAUUAUCAUCCCACUGAUCCUCGUGGGCCUGAUGGCCCUGAUGUUUGGGUGUUACAGGAAGUAUGUGAAGUCUUCAUCUUUUUGGCUUUCACUCCUAUCAAUUGUAGGUGGUUUGCCUCUGAUAUCUAACUUGUUUUGUUCAGGAAUAAGGAAUAUAUUUUGCCCAGAGUACCACAACCCCGGGACCUCCUCAGCGGUAUUUCUGACAACAACAACAAGGUGA